AGAAGAAGAAGAAGAAGGAGGAGGAGGAGGAGAAGAAUCUUCUCCUCCUCCUCCUCCUUCUUCUUCUCCUCCU
rnacentral:pre_miRNA from 12 species